rnacentral:misc_RNA from 1 species
GAUGAAGAACGUAGCGAAAUGCGAUAAGUAAUGUGAAUUGCAGAAUUCAGUGAAUCAUCGAAUCUUUGAACGCACCUUGCGCCCCUUGGUAUUCCAAGGAGCAUGCCUGUUUGAGUAUCAUUAAAUUAUCAACUGUGCCAAUUUGGUUACAGAUUGGAUGUGGGAGAUUCUUUUUGCAGGCCUUUGACUUCUCUUUGAGAAAAAAAAUAAAAGGUCGGCUCUCCUGAAAUGUAUUAGCAGUGCCUUUGUUGGUUCAUUAGGUGUGAUAAAUUGUCUACAUCUUCGCAUGAUACCUUCAUUUGUAAAGGUCAUAUUGCUUCUAAAUUGUCUUUGAUUGGACGCAAAACAUAUAUAAUGUUUGACAAACUUGAUCUCAAAUCAGGCAGGACUACCCGCUGAACUUAAGCAUAUCAAUAAGCGGAGGA